GCCUCUGUAGCUCAGUUGGUUAGAGCACUGCAUUGGAAUUGCAGGGCUGCAGGUUCAAUUCCUCGCAGGGGCC